AUGUAGCAUCCCCGAAUCCGGGUCCCAAAUCGCCACGGAUCCGGUAUACUAUUUCUAUCACUAUUGCGGAAGAUAUAAACAUAAAUUGUUUAUACAUUAAACUUUUACACAUCAUUCCCAAGGUCUACAACCUUAACUUAAUACAUACCUUCAAUAUCUUAGAAGAUUUACAAUACUAUUUUCAUCAGAAAAUUUAAUAAAUUUAACUACAACAUAAAGAAACUUUGCACUUUGUCUUUGCCUCUG
rnacentral:lncRNA from 1 species